rnacentral:rRNA from 1 species
AGUGAACGCUGGCGGUAGGCCUAACACAUGCAAGUCGAACGGCAGCACAGUAAGAGCUUGCUCUUACGGGUGGCGAGUGGCGGACGGGUGAGGAAUACAUCGGAAUCUACUUUUUCGUGGGGGAUAACGUAGGGAAACUUACGCUAAUACCGCAUACGACCUACGGGUGAAAGCAGGGGAUCUUCGGACCUUGCGCGAUUGAAUGAGCCGAUGUCGGAUUAGCUCGUUGGCGGGGUAAAGGCCCACCAAGGCGACGAUCCGUAGCUGGUCUGAGAGGAUGAUCAGCCACACUGGAACUGAGACACGGUCCAGACUCCUACGGGAGGCAGCAGUGGGGAAUAUUGGACAAUGGGCGCAAGCCUGAUCCAGCCAUACCGCGUGGGUGAAGAAGGCCUUCGGGUUGUAAAGACCUUUUGUUGGGAAAGAAAAGCAGCAGGUUAAUACCCCGCUGUUCUGACGGUACCCAAAGAAUAAGCACCGGCUAACUUCGUG